rnacentral:rRNA from 1 species
UACGAAGGGGGGCUAGCGUUGCUCGGAAUUACUGGGCGUAAAGCGCACGUAGGCGGCUUCUUAAGUCGGUGGUGAAAUCCUGGAGCUCAACUCCAGAACUGCCUUCGAUACUGGGAAGCUCGAGUCCGGGAGAGGUGAGUGGAACUGCGAGUGUAGAGGUGAAAUUCGUAGAUAUUAGGAAGAACACCGGUGGCGAAGGCGGCCCACUGGUCCGGUACUGACGCUGAGGUGCGAAAGCGUGGGGAGCAAACAGG